rnacentral:rRNA from 1 species
UACGGAGGGUGCGAGCGUUGUCCGGAAUUACUGGGCGUAAAGCGUGCGCAGGCGGUUUGUUAAGUCCGCUGUGAAAUCCCCGAGCUCAACUUGGGAAUUGCAGUGGAUACUGGCAAGCUGGAGUAUGGUAGAGGAAGGUGGAAUUCCCGGUGUAGCAGUGAAAUGCGUAGAGAUCGGGAGGAACACCAGUGGCGAAGGCGGCCUUCUGGACCAAUACUGACGCUCAUGCACGAAAGCGUGGGGAGCAAACAGG